rnacentral:misc_RNA from 1 species
UCAAACUUGGUCAUUUAGAGGAAGUAAAAGUCGUAACAAGGUCUCCGUUGGUGAACCAGCGGAGGGAUCAUUAGCGAGUUCUCUGCUCCCUAACACCCCGCGAACCUGUCCAGAGAGGAGUGUUGCCUCGGCCGGGGCCCCAGGGCGGGGCGCCGCGCCUGGCCUCGCCAGGACCCGGCCGGCGGCCUGACGACCGGAAGAUUUUCGCCCACGUGGCUGCUCUGAGUAGAUGUGGUAAUUCGUGAACAACUUUCAACAACGGAUCUCUUGGUUCUGGCAUCGAUGAAGAACGCAGC